UUUGUGUAGGAUAGGUGGGAGACGUUGAUGCGGCCACGCUAGUGGUGGUGGAGUCGUUGUUGAAAUACCACUCUGACCGUAGUGGAUAUCUAACCUUGGCCCAUGAUCUGGGUUGGGGACAGUGCCUGGUGGGUAGUUUAACUGGGGCGGUUGCCUCCUAAAAUGUAACGGAGGCGCCCAAAGGUUCCCUCAACCUGGUUGGCAAUCAGGUGGCGAGUGUAAGUGCACAAGGGAGCUUGACUGUGAGACAGACAUGUCGAGCAGGGACGAAAGUCGGGACUAGUGAUCCGGCAGUGGCUUGUGGAAGCGCUGUCGCUCAACGGAUAAAAGGUACCUCGGGGAUAACAGGCUGAUCUUGCCCAAGAGUCCAUAUCGACGGCAUGGUUUGGCACCUCGAUGUCGGCUCGUCGCAUCCCGG
rnacentral:rRNA from 14 species